rnacentral:lncRNA from 1 species
ACGGUUAUUAAGGGAAAGUAAUGCUCCACUAAUUCUAUAUUUAUGGUCCGAUAAUUUAGCGUCAUAAAAAGUGGGAUCACGUGCUCGACGAUUACAUUAGAAUCACCUAUAAAAAUGAGAGAUAAGUGAACAGUACGGGUAAGCCAACUUUAGGCAAAAGUCCUGCUACUUCAUGCAAUCAAAGUUACUGUUCACCAAUUUCCUCUGACUUAA